rnacentral:rRNA from 1 species
AGAACGAACGCUGGCGGCAUGCCUAACACAUGCAAGUCGAACGAGACCUUCGGGUCUAGUGGCGCACGGGUGCGUAACGCGUGGGAAUCUGCCCUUCGGUUCGGAAUAACAGUUAGAAAUGACUGCUAAUACCGGAUAAUGACGUAAGUCCAAAGAUUUAUCGCCGAAGGAUGAGCCCGCGUAAGAUUUAGCUUGUUGGUGAGGUAAAGGCUCACCAAGGCUACGAUCUUUAGCUGGUCUGAGAGGAUGAUCAGCCACACUGGGACUGAGACACGGCCCAGACUCCUACGGGAGGCAGCAGUGGGGAAUAUUGGACAAUGGGCGAAAGCCUGAUCCAGCAAGUGCCGCGUGACGUGAUGGAAGGCCUUAGGGUUGUAAAGCUCGUUUUACCCGGGAUGAAUAAUGAACACGUAACCGGAGAAAUAAGCUACCGGCUAACGUCCGUGACCGAG